rnacentral:rRNA from 1 species
UACGUAGGGUGCAAGCGUUGUCCGGAAUUAUUGGGCGUAAAGAGCUCGUAGGCGGUCUGUUGCGUCCGCUGUGAAAACUCGGGGCUUAACCCCGAGCCUGCAGUGGAUACGGGCAGACUAGAGGUAGGUAGGGGAGACUGGAAUUCCUGGUGUAGCGGUGAAAUGCGCAGAUAUCAGGAGGAACGCCGGUGGCGAAGGCGGGUCUCUGGGCCGAUACUGACGCUGAGGAGCGAAAGCGUGGGGAGCGAACAGG